GGAUGUGAGGGCGAUCUGGCUGCGAGAUCUGUCACCCCAUUAAUCACCAGGGUUGAUUCGGCUGAUCUGGCUGGCUAGGCGGGUGUCCCCCUCCUCCCUCACCGAUCCAUGUGCGUCCCUUCCGAAGCUGCGGCUCCCGAAGCUGCGCGCUCGGUCGAAGAGGACGACCUUCCCCCCCGAGGAGAGGACCGGUCUUCGGUCAAGGGUAUACGAGUAGCUGCGCUCCCCUGCUAGAACCUCCAAACAAGCUCUCAAAUACUUUUCCCUUUACAUUCCUAUUGUAAUCAUUGCUACAGUAAUUAGUUUAUCUCAGUCAUGUAUCAAUUUUGCAUAAAAUAAUUUGUU
rnacentral:snRNA from 1 species